rnacentral:misc_RNA from 1 species
UCCGGUUUGUCACCGGCAGUCUCGCAUGAGUCCCCAACUUAAUGCUGGCAACAUGCGACGGGGGUUGCGCUCGUUGCGGGACUUAACCCAACAUCUCACGACACGAGCUGACGACAGCCAUGCACCACCUGUGCACCUGCCCCGAAGGGCUGCCGUAUUUCUACGGCAUUCAGGUGCAUGUCAAGCCCUGGUAAGGUUCUUCGCGUUGCGUCGAAUUAAACCACAUGCUCCACCGCUUGUGCGGGCCCCCGUCAAUUCCUUUGAGUUUCAGCCUUGCGGCCGUACUCCCCAGGCGGGGUACUUAAUGCGUUAGCUUCGGCACAGGGGGAUUCGACUCCCCCCACACCUAGUGUUCAUCGUUUACGGCAUGGACUAC